AUUGAACGCUAGCGGGAUGCCUUACACAUGCAAGUCGAACGGAGUGGCGAACGGGUGAGUAAUGUAUCGGAACGUGCCCAGUAGCGGGGGAUAACUACGCGAAAGCGUAGCUAAUACCGCAUACUAUUGGAGCGGCCGAUAUCGGAUUAGCUAGUUGGUGGGGUAACGGCUCACCAAGGCGACGAUCCGUAGCUGGUUUGAGAGGCCGACCAGCCAGACUGGGAGUGAGCCACGGCACAGACUCCUACGGGAAGCAGCAGUGGGGAAAUGUGGACACUAGCGGAAAACGUGAUCCAGCCAUCCGGCGUAUGACAUGAAGGCCUUCGGGUUGUAAAGUACUUUGAGCGAGGAGGCGUUACUCGCAGAAGAAGCACCGGCUAACUCCGUGCCAGCAGCCGCGGUAAUUC
rnacentral:rRNA from 1 species